rnacentral:rRNA from 1 species
AUUGAACGCUAGCGGGAUGCCUUACACAUGCAAGUCGAACGGAGUGGCGAACGGGUGAGUAAUGUAUCGGAACGUGCCCAUUAGCGGGGGAUAACUACGCUAAAGCGUAGCUAAUACCGCAUACUCUUGGAGCGGCCGCUAUGGGAUUAGCUAGUUGGUGGGGUAACGGCUCACCAAGGCGACGAUCCGUAGCUGGUUUGAGAGGACGACCAGCCACACUGGAACUGAGAAAAGGCCCAGACUCCUACGGGAGGCAGCAGUGGGGAAUUUUGGACAAGGGGGGAAACCCUGAUGCAGCCAUGCCGCGUGUGCGAUGAAGGCCUUCGGGUUGUAAAGCACUUUUGGCAGGAAGGCGGUACCUGCAGAAUAAGCACCGACUAACUACGUGCCAGCAGCCGCGGUAAUUC